ensembl:misc_RNA Metazoa_SRP Metazoan signal recognition particle RNA
GCUGGGUGCAGUGGUGUGUGCCUGUAGUCCCAGCUGCUUGGGAGGCUGAGGCAGGAGGAUCACUUGAGCCCAGGAGUUUAAGGCUGCAGUGAGCUAUGAUUGCACCACUGCACUCCAGCCUGGGUGACAGGGUGAGACCCUAUCUCUA